GGUGCUGUGGCUAAGUUGGUAAAGUGCCUGUCUCGUAAACAGAUUCCUGGGUUCAAAUCCCAGCAGUACCU